GCAGGCCCUCGCCGCGCCCCGCCGGCUCCUCGAAGCGGCCCCGCUCGAGUCCCCCGUCGUCCUCACUGUCGACCUCGUGCUUGAUGUGUGGCGGCGCCGAGCGGAGCUUCUUGCGGGCCACGAGGUGGGGGCGAGGGGGAGGCACGUACUCCAUCCCCGGGUCGAUCAUUCCCUCCGUCUCCAUCUCCUCAUCACCUGGGGACAAGACGAGGUCAGCGAUGGCGUCGCACCGUGACGCUCAUGACACCAACUCACCGUGGAACAGCGCCUGGGGGGGGCAUGGCGUCGGGGAUAAGGUCCGCCUCCGACAGCAGGCUGGGCGUUGCCGAGUGAGAAGCCGGCGUCCCCGGGCCAGAGAAGUCCGGCGAGGGCGAGCUGAUGGAGGAGAAGUCGAUGACCUCGCCCUUCUCCAAGACGAGGUCGGGGCGACGCCCUGCGCCCCCUCCGCCGCGGCCUCCUCCCAGUUUGACCGGCGUGGAGCAGGCACUGCGGUCGGGUUUGUCCGCCUCCGGACGGAGAGUCGGCGGUCGGUUCUGGACGAGCUUCCACCAGCCCGGCUCGCCGAACUCCUGCGCGCCGGAGCGGAAGAAGGCGGGGCUACCGACUGA
ensembl:lncRNA